GACGAACGCUGGCGGCGUGCUUAACACAUGCAAGUCGAACGGAAAGGCCCUGCUUUUGUGGGGUGCUCGAGUGGCGAACGGGUGAGUAACACGUGAGUAACCUGCCCUUGACUUUGGGAUAACUUCAGGAAACUGGGGCUAAUACCGGAUAGGAGCUCCUGCUGCAUGGUGGGGGUUGGAAAGUUUCGGCGGUUGGGGAUGGACUCGCGGCUUAUCAGCUUGUUGGUGGGGUAGUGGCUUACCAAGGCUUUGACGGGUAGCCGGCCUGAGAGGGUGACCGGCCACAUUGGGACUGAGAUACGGCCCAGACUCCUACGGGAGGCAGCAGUGGGGAGUAUUGCACAGUGGGCGGAAGCCUGAGGCAGCGACGCCGCGUGCGGGAUGACGGCCUUCGGGUUGUAAACCGCUUUCGCCUGUGACGAAGCGUGAGUGACGGUAAUGGGUAAAGAAGCACCGGCUAACUACGUG
rnacentral:rRNA from 1 species